AAAAGUUACUAAGGGCGUACGGCGGAUGCCUAGGCUUUGAGAGGCGAUGAAGGACGUGAUAAGCUGCGAUAAGCUUCGGGGAGUGGCACAUACACAUUAUAUCCGAAGAUUUCCGAAUGGGGCAACCCGGCAGGUUGAAGGCCUGUCACUGCGUAAGCAGAGCGAACGUGGGGAACUGAAACAUCUAAGUACCCAUAGGAAAAGAAAUCAAUUGAGAUUCCGUAAGUAGUGGCGAGCGAACGCGGAUUAGCCCUAAAGACUUUAUAAGAAUAGUAGAAUAACCUGGAAAGGUUAACCGAAGAGGGUGAUAGUCCCGUAAAUGAAAUUUUUAUAUUGUUGAUAACGAGUAAGGCGGAACACGAGAAAUUCUGUCCGAAUAUGGGAGGACCAUCUUCCAAGGCUAAAUACUCCUCAAAGACCGAUAGUGAACUAGUACUGUGAAGGAAAGGUGAAAAGCAUAUCGAAUAGAUAGUUGAAAUAGAUCCUGAAACCGUACGCCUACAAGCGGUCGGAGCACUACGGUGUGACGGCGUGCCUUUUGCAUAAUGAUCCUACGAGUUAAUGUUGCUGGCAAGGUUAAGUACUUCAGGUACGGAGCCGUAGCGAAAGCGAGUCUGAAUAGGGCGAUGCAGUCAGUAGUAUUAGACGCGAAACCUUGUGAUCUACCCAUGGGCAGGUUGAAGCUUUGGUAACACAAAGUGGAGGACCGAACCGGUUGACGUUGAAAAGUCUUCGGAUGACCUGUGGGUAGGGGUGAAAGGCCAAUCAAACUGGGAAAUAGCUCGUACUCCCCGAAAUGCAUUUAGGUGCAGCGUCAUGUAAAGUAUAUUAGAGGUAGAGCUACUGAUUGGAUGCGGGGGCUUCACCGCCUACCAAUUCCUGACAAACUCCGAAUGCUAUAUAAUGUUUACCAGCAGUGAGGGCAUGGGUGCUAAGGUCCAUGUCCGAGAGGGAAAGAACCCAGACCAUCAGCUAAGGUCCCCAAAUAUAUGCUAAGUUGAAAGAACGAGGUUUGUCUGCCCAGACAGCUAGGAUGUUGGCUUGGAAGCAGCCAUUCAUUUAAAGAGUGCGUAACAGCUCACUAGUCGAGCGGUCCGGCAUGGAUAAUAAUCGGGCAUAAGCAUAUUACCGAAGCUAUGGAUUUGUACUGAAAGAUGUACAUCUGGUAGGGGAGCAUUCUAGCGGCGCAGAAGUCGUUCCGGCAAGGGACGGUGGAGCUUCUAGAAAAGAAAAUGUAGGAAUGAGUAACGAUAAAAUAAGUGAGAAACUUAUUCGCCGUAAGACUAAGGUUUCCUCAGCUAUGCUAAUCAGCUGAGGGUUAGUCGGGACCUAACGCGAACCCGAAAGGGGUAGUGGAUGGCAAAUGGGUUAAUAUUCCCAUACCUGCUCUCAAUAAAAGUGACGAAUGAUCGUAGGAGGUGCGUACUGACGGAAUAGUACGUUGAACUUAGGUAAACUAAGGAUAGUACACGAAGGUUUCGGCUGGAGUGAUAAUCCUCUGAAGAUUGUUCCAAGAAAUAGCGAGAGAAGCAGCCCGUACCGUAAACCGACACAGGUGGUCGAGGAGAGUAUCCUAAGGCGCUCGAGCGAUUCAUGGUUAAGGAAUUAGGCAAAAUAGCCCCGUAACUUCGGGAGAAGGGGCGCUGGUAGCAAUAUCAGCCUCAGUAAAAAGGCCCAGGCGACUGUUUAUCAAAAACACAGGACUCUGCAAAAUAGAAAUAUGACGUAUAGGGUCUGACACCUGCCCGGUGCUGGAAGGUUAAGGAAGGGGGUUAGCUUCGGCGAAGCUCUUAACUGAAGCCCCAGUAAACGGCGGCCGUAACUAUAACGGUCCUAAGGUAGCGAAAUUCCUUGUCGGGUAAGUUCCGACCUGCACGAAUGGUGUAACGAUCUGGGCACUGUCUCAACCAUGAUCUCGGUGAAAUUGUAGUAUCGGUGAAGAUGCCGGUUAAUCGCAACGGGACGAAAAGACCCUGUGAACCUUUACUAUAGCUUUGUAUUGACUUCGGGUAAAUAAUGUGUAGGAUAGGUGGGAGACUAUGAAGCUGCGUCGCUAGGCGUGGUGGAGUCAUUGUUGAAAUACCACCCUUUAUUUACUUGGAGCCUAACUUCCGUAAGGAAGGACAGUGCAUGGUGGGUAGUUUGACUGGGGUGGUCGCCUCCAAAAGAGUAACGGAGGCUU
rnacentral:rRNA from 1 species